rnacentral:lncRNA from 10 species
AUGGGAUGACAGCUGUUGAAACCAGAUUGACUGCACACCUUAUACCAAUUAUCUAUGAGAACAAGAACACACAACUCUUUGCUGCCCCAUUCCGUGUAUGCUUUGCCCAGUGGCCAAGGCCUUUACCUCACAUACAGCUUGAUUAAGAAUCCUCUGACCUCUCAGUCUAGCGGUAGCUGGAUAAAUGUGGUUCAUGGCUCUUGCUGCAGAAAAUGACUGCAACUUUAUUUUCCCUGUGUUAAAAUCUGGGCAAACUGGGAGGUGAGUAGAAGUUUUCACCUAGGAGUCGUCUUGUUAUCCACUGAAACCUGAAGUUUCCAGUACAGUUCAUGUACCUUAAAAUUUGCUGAUUUAAAGUGCACAUUUAUUUUCAAUAUAUAUGCAGUAAUAUGGUUUGAAUUGUGUGCCCUAAAAUUCAUAGGAUAAAGUGUUCACCUCCAGUAUUGCAGAAUGUUACCUCAUUUGGAGACAGGAUCUUUAUGGAAGUAUCUUCAAACAAGGUUAUUAGGAUGGGCCCUAAUUUAAUAAGAUCCGUGUCCUUUAAAAGGGGGAAAGUUGAAGACAUAUUGUAGGAAGGACGCUGUGUGCAGAUGAAGGCAGAGAUUGGGGAAUGCUUCUGCAAGCCAAGGAGAGCAAAGAUUGGCAGCAAAGCAACAGAAGCCAGGUGAGAGGCAUAAAACCUCUUCUCCCACAGCCCUCAGAAGGAAGCAAAUCUGCCAACACCUUGAUCUCAGACAUCCAGCUGAGGGACAAAUAACUCCAAAACUGUGGGAAAGUAAACUGCUAUUGUUUAAGUCACUUCGUCCAUUAUAUUUUGUAUAGCAGCCCUUGUAAACUCUAAGGUACAGAUAUAGAUAUGCACAAGAAUCACCACGGUUUUAGACCAUUUUUGUCAUCUAAAUGGAAUUCCUGAACCCUUUUGUAUUGCCCCUUUUUCCCCCUCCAGCCCUAUGAAACCACUAACCUACUUCCUGUCUCUACAUUUUGCCUGUUUUGACCAUUUCAUGUACAGUCACCCCUCGAUAUAUGCAGGGUAUUGGUUCCAGGAUCAACAGCAGACAUCAGAAGCAGCCCAUACUCAAGUCUCACAGUCAGCCCUGUGGAACCUAGCCGAGUAUGAAAAGCAGCCUUUUGUACACCUGUUUCUCCCAUCCCGAGAUCUGCAUUUGGUUGUGAAUGUGGAACCUGUGAAUACUUAGCACCAACUGUAUUUAUUGAAAACAUCAGCAUAUAGGUGGACCCGCCAAGUUUAAACCUAUGUUGUUCAAGGGUCAAUUGUAAAUGGAAUCAUACAGUGCAUUGGUUUUGUGACUGGCAUCUCUCACUUGGCAGGGCUUUUUCGUGGCUCAUCCACGUUAUAAAAUGUGUCAGAACUUCCUUCCUUUUUAGGGAUGAGAAUUACACAUACUACAUUUUGUUCUUCCAUUAGUCAGUGGGUAGACAUUGGGGUUGUUUACGCUUUUGGCUAUUGAGACUAAUGCUGCUGUAAACAUUCACAUAUAAAUUUUUGUGUGGACAUACGUUUUCAUUUCUCAUGGGUAUAUGCCUGAGAGGAGAAUUGUAAGUUCAUAUGUCAAAAAGUGUUAAACCAUUUGAAGAUUUUUCAGAGUGUUUUCCACAGUGACUGCAUCAUUUUACAUUCUCAUCACUAGUAUCUGAGGGCUGUGAUUACCACAUCUACUCACCAACACUUAUUAUUAUGUGAUUUUUUGAUUUUAGCUAUCCUAGUGGGUUUGAAAUAGUUUUCUUAUUGUGGUUUCAAUUUGCAUUUCCCUAAUGACUAAUGAUUUUGAACAUCUUUUCAUGUGCUUAUUGCUCUUUUGUAUGUCUUGUUUGAAGAAAUGCUUGUUCAUAUUCUUUGUCCAUUUUCAGUUGUGAUAUUUGUUUUUUAUGUUAUUAACUUAUAUUAGUUCUAUAUAAAUUCUAUGUACAAGUAUUAUAUCAGGUAUAUUAUUAGCAAUUACUUUCUCCCGUUCUGUGGGCCUUCUUUUCACUUCCUUUUUUCCUUAUUUAAAAGUAUUUCAUUCUCAAAUAAUGAUUGAAUCUAUUUAAGGUGUAUAACAUGAUGGUUUGAUAUAUGUAUAUAUUGUACGAUGCUUACCACAAUUAAAUUAUAUCACCACCCAUGCUGUACAGAGCCUCCCAGAACUUGCUGGUCUUAUAACUGAAAGUUUGUACCCUUUGACUAAUAUCUUCCCAUUUCUUCUACUCCCUGAACCCUGACAAUCACUAGUCUACUCUGCUUCCAAGAGGCCAACUUUUUAAGAUUCUACAUAUAAGUGAGAUCAUGUCGCGUUUGUCUUUUUUUGUCUGGGUUAUUUCACUUAGCUUAAUGUCCUUUAGGGUCAUACAUAUUGUUGCAAAUGGCAGCAUUUCCUUUUUUGUAGAUGAAUAAUAUUUCUUUGCAUAUAUGUACCACAAUUUCUUUAUCUAUUCAUCAAAUUAUGGACACAUAGAUUGUUUCCAUAUAUUGGUUAUUGUGAAUAAUGCUAUAAUGAACAUGGGGGUUACAACUAUCUCUUCAAGAUACUGAUUUCAUUUCCUUUAGAUAUAUACCCCAAAGUAGAAUUGAUAGAUCAUAUGGUAGUUCUAUUUUUAGUUUUAUGAGGAGUUCUGGACUGUUUUCCAUAAUGACUGCACCAAUUAACAUUCCCACCAAUAGUGUACAAAGGACAUCCUUUGUCCACAUGCUCACCAAAACAUUACCUCUUCUCUUUUUGAUAAUGAGAGGUGACAGCGUGCUGG